rnacentral:sRNA from 2 species
CGGGUACACUCCUGGAUUUACCAAUCCGAAGGGCCGAGACCCUUCGGGGUUCUGGUGUCUGAUUCGGAGACCGAAUCGGGAGCACCAUCUGCGUAGGCCGAACGUUUAAGGCUUUCGCCACCUACGGUCUUGGACGGCCCCCGCCAGGCAGGGACCCCAAUACAGCGCGACAGCCGAAGCUGUCGC